AGAGUUUGAUCCUGGCUCAGGAUGAACGCUGGCGGCGUGCCUAAUACAUGCAAGUCGAACGAAACUUCUUUAUCACCGAGUGCUUGCACUCACCGAUAAAGAGUUGAGUGGCGAACGGGUGAGUAACACGUGGGCAACCUGCCCAAAAGAGGGGGAUAACACUUGGAAAUAGGUGCUAAUACCGCAUAACCAUAGUUACCGCAUGGUAACUAUGUAAAAGGUGGCUAUGCUACCGCUUUUGGAUGGGCCCGCGGCGCAUUAGCUAGUUGGUGAGGUAAAGGCUUACCAAGGCAAUGAUGCGUAGCCGAACUGAGAGGUUGAUCGGCCACAUUGGGACUGAGACACGGCCCAAACUCCUGCGGGAGGCAGCAGUAGGGAAUCUUCCACAAUGGGCGAAAGCCUGAUGGAGCAACGCCGCGUGGGUGAAGAAGGUCUUCGGAUCGUAAAACCCUGUUGUUAGAGAAGAAAGUGCGUGAGAGUAACUGUUCACGUUUCGACGGUAUCUAACCAGAAAGCCACGGCUAACUACGUGCCAGCAGCCGCGGUAAUACGUAGGUGGCAAGCGUUAUCCGGAUUUAUUGGGCGUAAAGAGAGUGCAGGCGGUUUACUAAGUCUGAUGUGAAAGCCUUCGGCUUAACCGGAGAAGGGCAUCGGAAACUGGCUAACUUGAGUGCAGAAGAGGGUAGUGGAACUCCAUGUGUAGCGGUGGAAUGCGUAGAUAUAUGGAAGAACACCAGUGGCGAAGGCGGCUACCUGGUCUGUAACUGACGCUGAGACUCGAAAGCAUGGGUAGCGAACAGGAUUAGAUACCCUGGUAGUCCAUGCCGUAAACG
rnacentral:rRNA from 1 species